rnacentral:rRNA from 1 species
CUACGGGGCGCUCCAGUGAGGAAUUUUGCGCAAUGGGGGAAACCCUGACGCAGCAACGCCGCGUGAGUGAUGAAGGCCUUCGGGUCGUAAAACUCUGUCAAGUGGGAGGAACCUAUGUAAGGUUAAUACCCUUAUGUACUGACGGUACCACUGAAGGAAGCACCGGCUAACUCCGUGCCAGCAGCCGCGGUAAUACGGAGGGUGCAUGCGUUAUUCGGAAUUAUUGGGCGUAAAGGGCGCGCAGGCGGUUGUGUAAGUCAGAUGUGAAAGCCCGGGGCUUAACCUCGGAAGUGCAUUUGUACUGCAAGACUUGAGUAUGGGAGAGGGGAGUGGAAUUCCUGGUGUAGAGGUGAAAUUCGUAGAUAUCAGGAGGAACACCAGUGGCGAAGGCGACUUCCUGGACCAAUACUGACGCUGAGGCGCGAAGGCGUGGGGAGCAAACAGGAUUAGAUACCCCUGUAGUC